UGGUGCGGGUAGUGAGAUUUGAACUCGCACACCUUAUCGGAACUAGAACCUGAAUCUAGCGCGUCUACCAAUUUCGCCAUACCCGC
rnacentral:tRNA from 1 species